GUCAACUCCCAAGAUAAGAGGUCAAGGAAUCUGUUGUCAAUCACACUGACCAGAAGUGGCAAGGCAAUAAUCGGAGCCCAAGCUAUGUGACAUCAAGGCUAAUACUCUUUUAGUUUAUUGACUUAUAGUUGAAUUACAAUCAACUGAACAUAUGUAAUGUGCAAAAUAUGUCAGGGACACACCCGUGAAGACAUCGCCACAAUCAAGAGGACUGAAGCCCUUGCUCUCAACCAGCUUCGACUUGUAGUAUCAAGCCCAUCCUUCUACUGGAAGAGCAGUCAGAUAUUUGAAGAGACCCACUUGUGCUUUUGAAAUGUCCUGUUCCUUAAGCCUGGCUACAGGAAAGGUGAUGAAUGCACCCUGGACAAAGCUGUGUGCCUCUCCUUCUGAUGGCUCCCCUGCUUCAAAUUCUUGUUCUGGGAGUGGCCCCACUCCCAGGCCAGGCUUCAGCAUCUCCACCUGCUAAGACCUUCCUUCCCUGUCUGUUUUCAAGGCCCUUCUCAAAUGCUUCCUCCACACAGAGGUUUCCUAGCCAAAUAAAGGCAACAUUCCUUGCAGAACACUUUGUAUAUAGCACAUGAACCUGUAUAUAUACUGGAAGAUCACUGCUCAUAAGUCACGCUGCCAUUGGGGCACUGGGAUGUUUUACUAUUAGAACUCCUGGAGGAACGUGAGGAAACUGUCACUAUUUCACAGUCGUCGGUUCUACUGGGCCAUGUCGUUGGAGAUGAUUUCCUACAGAUUUCCCUGGGUUUCACAAAAAUGUUUCGUGUUCUUAGGGACUUCUUUUGCUAUUCAAGUUUGGCUUCAAUAUUGUUAUUGCAUGAGUAGAUUUGUUGAGUGACAUAAGUUUGGGCGAAGGCUUUCCUUGAACUCUUAAUCAUUUGCACACUCAUCCUCACCCACGGUGGUGCCCGAGUUGCCAAGUGUAUUGAGGAUCCCAGCCAGGGGCACCAGUGCAAGGAUUACCAAUUAUGGACAAGAGAAUGAAACCCUCUUCUCUUACCUGCACUCUGGCAUCAGGAUGCUUAUCACCACUUUACAUACUAACACUCAACCCCCAUCAGUUGGUGCAAACUUUGAAAUCUCACUGUAAUCAUCUCUCUCCUACAUAUUUGAACGACUGCCUGCUGGAGCUCUAACGGGUUCACUUACCUUUCUGUGAGAGAGAGAGGCGGAGAGAGAGGAAGAGAGAGAAUCUCAAGC